rnacentral:rRNA from 1 species
GAUGAACGCUGGCGGCGUGCCUAAUACAUGCAAGUCGAGCGAACGGACGAGAAGCUUGCUUCUCUGAUGUUAGCGGCGGACGGGUGAGUAACACGUGGAUAACCUACCUAUAAGACUGGGAUAACUUCGGGAAACCGGAGCUAAUACCGGAGAAUAUUUUGAACCGCAUGGUUCAAAAGUGAAAGACGGUCUUGCUGUCACUAAAAGAGGAAUCCGGGUUGCUUUAGCUAGUUGGUAAGGUAACGGCUUACCAAGGCAACGAUGCAUAGCCGACCUGAGAGGGUGAUCGGCCACACUGGAACUGAGACACGGUCCAGACUCCUACGGGAGGCAGCAGUAGGGAAUCUUCCGCAAUGGGCGAAAGCCUGACGGAGCAACGCCGCGUGAGUGAUGAAGGUCUUCGGAUCGUAAAACUCUGUUAUUAGGGAAGAACAUAUGUGUAAGUAACUGUGCACAUCUUGACGGUACCUAAUCAGAAAGCCACGGCUAACUACGUG